GACGAACGCUGGCGGCGUGCUUAACACAUGCAAGUCGAACGGAAAGGCCCUGCUUGCCGGGUACUCGAGUGGCGAACGGGUGAGUAACACGUGGGUGAUCUGCCCUGCACUUCGGGAUAAGCCUGGGAAACUGGGUCUAAUACCGGAUAGGAGCCAUUUUUAGUGUGAUGGUUGGAAAGUUUUUUCGGUGUAGGAUGAGCUCGCGGCCUAUCAGCUUGUUGGUGGGGUAAUGGCCUACCAAGGCGGCGACGGGUAGCCGGCCUGAGAGGGUGGACGGCCACAUUGGGACUGAGAUAACGCCCAGACUCCUACGGGAGGCAGCAGUGGGGAAUAUUGCACAAUGGGCGCAAGCCUGAUGCAGCGACGCCGCGUGGGGGAUGACGGCCUUCGGGUUGUAAACUCCUUUCGCUAGGGACGAAGCUUUUUGUGACGGUACCUAGAGAAGAAGCACCGGCUAACUACGUG
rnacentral:rRNA from 1 species